GUGUUCCUGGCUCCAUAUCUGGAGCUCAGGAGCCAAAGAGCCUGGAAGAGUCAGAGAGAAGACACAUCCAUGAGAAUGGAAAGUGUUGCUAUGAAAAUACUUUCUGGAAAUAUUUUCUGGUUACUAUUAUUCAGAUUAUUUUACAUAAUUUUCUGAGUUUAUACAAGUAACUCUUCUGUCACACAAUAUAAACACAAUCAACACUCCCAAAGUGCACACUUAAAAAAAAAGUAACCCUUUUAAAAAGUAUCUACUUCCUAUGAAUCUGGAACAAAUUAUCUUAGCCUACUCUCCACUACCGCAAGCCAGUGGUGACGAUCAUAAAUAAAAAAAGACCUUUGGGGAGUUACCGUGUGGCUCAGGAGGUUAAGGACCUGGCAUCAUCACUGCAGUGGCUUGGGUCACUGCUGUGACACACGUUUGAGCCCUGCCCAGGAACUUCCAUAUGCCUUGGAAAAAAGACCUGUGGGUAGACAAUUACUAGGCUUAACUCUGUCCAUUGGAGAAAAAUUGGAGUAGAAAAGGCCAAUAAACUGUAUAAAGGGUCCAUGAAAUUUGGGAAUGGGUACAUAGGCCUAAGGGGGUUAUGACAUAGGCCUAAGGGGAAAACCAUAGAGUUGUUAAAAAGAGACACAGCUGACCCUUGAACAAUAGGGGUUUGAACUGUAUGGGCCCACUUCUAUGCGGAUUUUUUUUUUUUUCAGUAGUAAACACUGCAGUAUGGCACAAUCCAAGGUUGGUUGAAUCUGUGGAUACAGGGCUGUGGACAUGGAGGGCCGACUGUAAAGUUAUUCUUGGAUUUUUGACUGAGGAGAGGGUGGGCUCCCCAAACCCCCGUGUUGUUCAAGGGUCAAUUGUAUACAGGUGCUCUCUAUAUUAUUUCUGUAACAUUUCUAUAAAUCUAAACACUUUUCAAAAUAAAAAUGUUAUUUGGAAAAAAUAAUAACAGAUGGUGCAGGAACAACUGGGUCACCACAUGCAAAAUAAUGAAGUCAGAUCUCUAUCUCACACCCUGCAUCUCCACGGAUACUAGUUGGAUUCUUAACCCCCUGAGCCACAAUGGGAACUGGAACAUCAGGUGUACAUCUUUGUUACCUUGGGUUAGGCAAUAAUUUCUUAGCUAUAACACAAAAAGCACAAGCAACAAAAGAAAAAAGAGAUACGCUGGACUUCAUCAAAACUGUAGAAUUUUGACACCAAAACAAGUGACACCAUGAAGAAAAUGAAAAGACAAUCCACCAAAUGGGAGAAAAUACUUGCCAAUCACAUAUCUGAUAAGGGGCUGAUAUCCAGAAUGUAAAAAGAACUCCUACAACUCAAUAAUAGACCAACUGAUAAAAUGGGCAAGGGAUCUCCAUAGGUAUUUCACCAAAGACAUAAUGGCCAAUAAGGACAUGAAAGUUCAAUGCCAUGAACCAUCACACAAAUUCAAGUCAACUUUCACAUCCAUUAGGAUGGUUAUAAGCAAAAAGACUGAUAAUAACCAGCGUUGGCAAGGAUGUGGGGAAACUGGAACUGUCAUACACUGCCCGCGGGAAUGUAAAUUGCUGCAGCUACUUUGGAAAAUAGGCUGGCUGU
rnacentral:lncRNA from 1 species